rnacentral:rRNA from 1 species
UAGGGAAUCUUCGGCAAUGGACGAAAGUCUGACCGAGCAACGCCGCGUGAGUGAAGAAGGUUUUCGGAUCGUAAAACUCUGUUGGUAGAGAGGAACGUUGGUGAGAGUGGAAAGCUCAUCAAGUGACGGUAACUACCCAGAAAGUCACGGCUAACUACGUGCCAC